GCUCUCGCAUCGAUGAAGAACGUAGCGAAAUGCGAUACUUGGUGUGAAUUGCAGAAUCCCGUGAACCAUCGAGUCUUUGAACGCAAGUUGCGCCCGAAGCCUUCGGGCCGAGGGCACGCCUGCCUGGGCGUCACGCAUCGCGUCGCCCCCCCACCCCGCUCGAACAAAGCGGGUGCGUC
rnacentral:rRNA from 1 species